GACCCUAUAGAGUUUAAUAUUUAAUUAAUAAAUUAUUUUUUAGAAUUUAAUAUUAAUUUAUUAAUUAAAUAUUUGAUUGGGGUGAUUGAAAAAUUUAAGUAACUUUUUUUAUAUUUUAACAUUAAUUUAUGAUUAUUUGAUCCAUUAUUUAUGAUUAUAAGAUUAAAUUACCUUAGGGAUAACAGCGUAAUUUUUUUUGAGAGUUCAAAUCGAAAAAAAAGAUUGCGACCUCGAUGUUGGAUUAAAAUUUAUUUUUGGUGUAGAAGCUAAAUUUAUUGGGUCUGUUCGACCUUUAAAAUUUUACAUGAUCUGA
rnacentral:rRNA from 3 species